GCGGAUGUAGCUCAGCUGGUAGAGCAUCUCGUUGCCAACGAGAAGGUCGCCGGUUCGAAUCCGGUCGUCCGCU
rnacentral:tRNA from 1 species